GAUGAACGCUGGCGGCGUGCCUAAUACAUGCAAGUCGAGCGAAGCGGGGACGGGUGAGUAACACGUGGAUAACCUCCUAUAAGACUGGGAUAACUUCGGGAAACCGGAGCUAAACCGGAUAAUUAUAGAUGGAUCCGCUCUGCAUUAGCUAGUGGGUAAGGUAACGGCUUACCACGGAAACGAUGCAUAGCCGAACUGCGAGGGUGAUCUGCCACACUGGAACUGAAACACGGUCCAGACUCCUACGGGAGGCAUCAGUAGGGAAUCUUCCGCAAUGGUCGAAAGCUUGACGGAGCAACGCCGCGUGAGUGAUGAAGGUCGUCGGAUCGUAAAAUGCUGUUAUUAGGGAAGCGGUACCGAAUCAGAAAGCCACGGCUAACUACGUGCCAGCAGCCGCGGUAAUAC
rnacentral:rRNA from 1 species